CCUACGGGAGGCAGCAGUGAGGAAUAUUGGUCAAUGGACGAGAGUCUGAACCAGCCAAGUAGCGUGAAGGAUGACUGCCCUAUGGGUUGUAAACUUCUUUUAUAUAGGAAUAAAGUGAUCCACGUGUGGCUUUUUGUAUGUACUAUAUGAAUAAGGAUCGGCUAACUCCGUGCCAGCAGCCGCGGUAAUACGGAGGAUCCGAGCGUUAUCCGGAUUUAUUGGGUUUAAAGGGAGCGUAGGUGGGUUGUUAAGUCAGUUGUGAAAGUUUGCGGCUCAACCGUAAAAUUGCAAUUGAUACUGGCAGUCUUGAGUACAGUAGAGGUGGGCGGAAUUCGUGGUGUAGCGGUGAAAUGCUGAGAUAGCACGCAGAACUCCGAUUGCGAAGGCAGCAUACCAGCGGGCAUCUGACGUUGAGGCACGAAAGCGUGGGUAUCGAACAGGAUUAGAUACCCCUGUAGUC
rnacentral:rRNA from 1 species